rnacentral:rRNA from 1 species
AUUGAACGCUGGCGGCAUGCUUUACACAUGCAAGUCGAACGGUAACAGGUUAAGCUGACGAGUGGCGAACGGGUGAGUAAUGCAUCGGAACGUGCCCGGUCGUGGGGGAUAACGCAGCGAAAGUUGCGCUAAUACCGCAUACGAUCUGAGGAUGAAAGCGGGGGACCGUAAGGCCUCGCGCGAUCGGACCGGCCGGUGUCAGAUUAGGUAGUUGGUGGGGUAAAGGCUCACCAAGCCAACGAUCUGUAGCGGGUCUGAGAGGACGACCAGCCACACUGGGACUGAGACACGGCCCAGACUCCUACGGGAGGCAGCAGUGGGGAAUUUUGGACAAUGGGCGAAAGCCUGAUCCAGCAAUGCCGCGUGCAGGAAGAAGGCCUUCGGGUUGUAAACUGCUUUUGUACGGAGCGAAAAGGUCUCCUCUAAUACAGGGGGCUCAUGACGGUACCGUAAGAAUAAGCAUCUACUAACUACGUGCCAGCCGCCGCAGUAA